rnacentral:piRNA from 1 species
UGAGUUGUCUUCCCAGGAUGACUGUUGU